rnacentral:rRNA from 1 species
CGUAGGGGGCUAGCGUUGUCCGGAAUCAUUGGGCGUAAAGAGCGUGUAGGCGGUCCGGUAAGUCCGCUGUGAAAGUCGGGGGCUCAACCCUCGAAUGCCGGUGGAUACUGUCGGGCUAGAGUGCGGAAGAGGCGAGUGGAAUUCCUGGUGUAGCGGUGAAAUGCGCAGAUAUCAGGAGGAACACCUAUUGCGAAGGCAGCUCGCUGGGACGUAACUGACGCUGAGACGCGAAAGCGUGGGGAGCAAACAGGAUUAGAUACCCUGGUAGUCCACGCUGUAAACGAUGGGCACUAGGUGUGGGGGGUGUCGACUCCCUCCGUGCCGAAGCUAACGCAUUAAGUGCCCCGCCUGGGGAGUACGGCCGCAAGGCUAA